rnacentral:ncRNA from 1 species
CAAAGGCUUGGUCCUGACUUUACUGUCAGCUUUAGCUUGACUUACACAUGCAAGUCUCCGCACCCCCGUGAGGAUUGCCCAUUGGCCUCCCGACCGGAGGCCGGGAGCUGGUAUCAGGCACAAUAUUUUAGCCCACGACGCCUUGCUUAGCCACACCCCCAAGGGUAGUCAGCAGUGAUAAACAUUAAGCCAUGAGUGAAAACUUGACUUAGUUAAAGCUAAUAAGGGCCGGUAAAACUCGUGCCAGCCACCGCGGUUAUACGAGGGGCCCAAGUUGACAGUCCACGGCGUAAAGGGUGGUUAGGGAAUUCUAUUAAACUAAAGCCGAACGCUUACAAAGCUGUUAUACGCACACGAAAGUAAGAAGAUCAACAACGAAAGUGGCUUUAUUCACCCUGAACCCACGAAAGCUAAGGAACAAACUGGGAUUAGAUACCCCACUAUGCUUAGCCCUAAACAAUGACUGUGGCACUACACCCCACAUCCGCCCGGGUAUUACGAACGUCAGUUUAAAACCCAAAGGACUUGGCGGUGCUUUAUAUCCCCCUAGAGGAGCCUGUUCUAGAACCGAUAACCCCCGUUCAACCUCACCCUCUCUUGCCCCUUUCCGCCUAUAUACCGCCGUCGUCAGCUUACCCUGUGAAGGAGAUAAAAGUGAGCAAAAUUGGCACUGCCCAAAACGUCAGGUCGAGGUGUAGCGAAUGAGAGGGGAAGAAAUGGGCUACAUUCGCUAACAGUAGCGAACACGGAUGUUGCAUUGAAACAUGCAGCUGAAGGUGGAUUUAGUAGUAAGCGGAAAGUAGAGUGUUCCGCUGAAAUUGGCCCUAAAGCGCGUACACACCGCCCGUCGCCCUCUCCGGCCCCCACACACUUAAUUUACAUAAACCUACGUCUAAACCCUACAGGAGAGGAAAGUCGUAACAUGGUAAGCGUACCGGAAGGUGUGCUUGGAGUAACAAC